rnacentral:lncRNA from 1 species
UGAUGAGGUUCUAAACUCUUAUGACCGGGUUCUAAACAUUUUUGAUGAGGUAGGGAAGUAAUUUUAACACCGGUUCUUCCUGAAUGAGGGACCCAUCGCUUCUGAUAAGAGUCCAGUUUCCAGUUCUGAUCGUGUCUCAGUCCUUGGAUUCCAUGGGAAGGAGGAUCUUUGGUUCCGUGGUCAUUUCAGAGUUAUGGGUGCAAGAUGGAAAGUGGGAAGAAGCUUGUCUAAAAGGGAGGUGGAGAGAGACCCAAGGCUUUCGUUCUACAGUUGCCAAUGACAUCAGUGUGGUCAAAUCCACCUCGGUGGCCCCAAUCACAGCCUCGAUUACCUUGUGAUGUCACACCUG